rnacentral:rRNA from 1 species
AUGGAAAGCCCCAGCAACGACAAACCUAUUCCUGGCCUGCACGAGCUGCCACCGGCAGUCAUGGACAGAGGCAAGGCCAAGGCGGACCCUGCCAACCCCCACGCCGUGGCUGUUGCCACCGAGCCGGACCUACAGGACGACAGCGAGUCCGAGUCAGGUUCAGAGUCUAUCGAGAUCGCGGACCUCAAGAAGCGCAUGUGGAAGGACCAGUUGCUUCUCAUGAAGCUCGAGGGCACCCCGGGGCACGAACGAAGAGCAACCGGGCAGAGGCCGGACACGGACCUGGCCCAAGCAGAGAAGGAGGCAGAGAUGCCGGAGUCACGGUACCGCCGCAAGGCGAUGCUCCGGGCGCAGGACGGCGUCCUCCGGCACAUGCUCAGGAUGAUGGAGGCGUGCAACGCGCGGGGGUUCGUGUACGGCAUCGUGGACGAGACCGGCAUGCCCGUGUCCGGCUCCUCCGACAGCCUCCGCGGCUGGUGGAAGGAGGACGUUGGGUUCGAGCGGACCGGGCCGACGGCCCUGGCCGGCCCGUCGACGGCCCUCGAGAGCCCGGGAUCAUCGUUCCUCCACGGGCUCCUCGACAUCCAGGACAGCACGCUGGGGUCCCUGCUCUCAGCGCUGAUCCAGCACUGCGAGCCCCCGCAGCGGAGCUUCCCGCUGGACAGGGGACUGCCGCCGCCGUGGUGGCCGACGGGCCAGGAGUUCUGGUGGGGCCUGCAGGGCGAGACCCAGGCACAUCAGGGCCCGCCGCCAUACCGGAAGCCUCACGACCUGAAGAAGGCGUGGAAGAUCUCACUGCUGAGCGCGGUGAUCAAGCACCUGAGCUCGCGUUUCGACCAGAUGCGCAAGCUCGUGUGGCAAUCCAAGCGGCUGCAGCAUAGGAUGAGCGCCAAGGACGCCGAGACCUGGUCCAGGGUCAUCACCCAGGAGGAGGCGCUCGACCGCCAGGUGCAGCGCGCCCUGCGGAUCACGCCGCUCGAGGAGGAAGACGACGACAAGGAGCCGCAGGAAGCGGAACACGGCCUGCACGUCGACAAGCGCAAGCGAGGGGUCGGCAACGAGAGUGCGGGAGGUAAUGACGACAGUGGUAGUGGCCGGGAGCUGGUUGCGCUGCCGGUCAUUGACGGCGUCGCGGAGGCGGACCGCAACUCCAUCGACGAGCUCAUGAAGAUGUACUACAGCUGUCUGCAGGGAACAGACGGUGGUGAGCAGGAGAUCAAGGACGUGGCGGCUGGAGGCGGGGAGCAGAGCAAUACCUCUUCUGCUGAGACCGGCGUAUUGGACGCGGCGACGGUGCGCGAUGACAUGUUCGACGAUUUCUUGAGCGUUGCCGAUGUGGUCGACAUGAGUGACUGCCCGGGCAGUCCGAUAUGGCACUGGGGGAGUUCGGAUUUGGAUUAG